UUCUUUGCUGAUUAGUAGAUAGGGUUGGUUUCAAGGGGGCGUUUGAUUUUGGUGAAUGAAAAUGUUCAGUAUUGUUGAAUAUUUGGCUCGUGUUGGUUGUGUUUACGCUUCAGUGAACGGAAUUCAAAGUCCAAAUUAAUUGAUUUCUUCAAUUCAUCUGCCAGUGCAAUAAUUAAGGGAUAUGCAACUCCUUUAAAAGAAUAUUACUGUAAGUUGAGGGGAAAUAUGUCUAGCGAGAAAAUUGCGAUAGGAUUUGACAAGCAAUUUCGGACUUCGUUUAAAAUUAAUAUGGGAACACAAUGAUUACAAGCAUCUCAAGGUAAAUCAUAGGUUACAUUUAAAGAUCCAGACACUGGCGCACAUACCAAUCAGAUUGAGGGUCUUUCGAACUUAGCAAAAAAAAGUAUGCCACAAACAAAUCGUAACAAACAAAUGAUUAGUAGCUAUUUGGCAACAUUUAUGCUUCAUCAAAAAUGGCAAGGAAUCGAUGGGUUUUUAAUGUUUAUGCAAUACGCAGCAAAAUUGUAUGGAUAUGGAGUCAAGAGAUUGAACAAACUGCAUCAACAUCAACAAAGCGCGCAAAAAAUAAUUAAUUUUUUUUUUGAUUAUUCGAUUAUGUUACAAACGAAAUUUAAUUGUAAAGCCAAUAUUCUGCUGAUCAAUGUU